rnacentral:rRNA from 1 species
GACAGAGGUGCCGAGCGUUAGGCGGAAUCACUGGGCUUAAAGCGUGUGUAGGCGGCCCGUUAAGUGUCCGAGUGAAAUCCCACGGCUCAACCGUGGAACUGCUUGGUAUACUGCGGGUCUUGAGCCACCUAGGGGCAAGUGGAACAAACGGUGGAGUGGUGAAAUGCGUAGAUAUCGUUUGGAACGCCAAUGGUGAAAACAACUUGCUGAGGGUGUGCUGACGCUGAGACACGAAAGCCAGGGGAGCAAACGGG